rnacentral:rRNA from 1 species
AUUGAACGCUGGCGGCAGGCCUAACACAUGCAAGUCGAACGAGUGGCGGACGGGUGAGUAAUGUCUGGGAAACUGCCUGAUGGAGGGGGAUAACUACUGGAAACGGUAGCUAAUACCGCAUACCAUCAGAUGUGCCCAGAUGGUAUUAGCUAGUUGGUGGGGGAACGGCUCACCAAGGCGACGAUCCCUAGCUGGUCUGAGAGGAUGACCAGCCACACUGGAGCUGAGACACGGUCCAGACUCCGACGGGAGGCAGCAGUGGGAAAUAUGGCACAAUGGGCGCAAGCCUGAUGCAGCCAUGCCGCGUGUAUGAAGAAGGCCGUCGGGUUGUAAAGUACUUUCAGCGGGGAGGCGUUACCCGCAGAAGAAGCACCGGCUAACUCCGUACCAGCCGCCGCGGUAAUAC